UAGGGAAUCUUCCGCAAUGGGCGAAAGCCUGACGGAGCAACGCGCGUGAGUGAAGAAGGAUUUCGGUUCGUAAAGCUCUGUUGUUAGGGAAGGAUGAUUGUGUAGUAACUAUACACAGUAGAGACGGUACCUAACCAGAAAGCCACGGCUAACUACGUGCCAGCAGCCGCGGUAAUACGUAGGUGGCAAGCGUUGUCCGGAAUUAUUGGGCGUAAAGCGCGCGCAGGUGGUUUAAUAAGUCUGAUGUGAAAGCCCACGGUUCAACCGUGGAGGGUCAUUGGAAACUGUUAAACUUGAGUGCGGGAGAGAAAAGUGGAAUUCCUAGGGNAGCGGUGAAAUGCGUAGAGAUUAGGAGGAACACCAGUGCCGAAGGNGGCUUUUUGGCCUGUAACUGACACUGAGGCGCGAAGGCNUGGGGAGNAANNGGGAUUGGUACCCGGUAGUCNCGCCGUAACGNNGAGUGCUAGGUG
rnacentral:rRNA from 1 species